rnacentral:rRNA from 1 species
GACAGAGGGUGCAAACGUUGUUCGGAAUUACUGGGCGUAAAGCGCGUGUAGGCGGCUAUGCAAGUCGGAUGUGAAAGCCCUCGGCUCAACCGGGGAAGUGCACUCGAAACUGCAAGGCUAGAGUCUCGGAGAGGAUCGUGGAAUUCUCGGUGUAGAGGUGAAAUUCGUAGAUAUCGAGAGGAACACCGGUGGCGAAGGCGGCGAUCUGGACGAUGACUGACGCUGAGACGCGAAAGCGUGGGGAGCAAACAGG